rnacentral:rRNA from 1 species
GACGAACGCUGGCGGCGUGCUUAACACAUGCAAGUCGAACGGAAAGGCCUGCUUUCCCUUGUGGAUUGCGGGUACUCGAGUGGCGAACGGGUGAGUAACACGUGAGUGAUCUGCCCCCAACUUGGGUAUAAGCCUGGGAAACUGGGUCUAAUUCCCGAUAGGACUGCAGGGUGGUGCCUGUGGUGGAAAACGAUGUUCUAGUGGUUGGGGAUGAGCUCGCGGCCUAUCAGCUUGUUGGUGGGGUAAUGGCCUACCAAGGCGGCGACGGGUAGCCGGCCUGAGAGGGUGGACGGCCACAUUGGGACUGAGAUACGGCCCAGACUCCUACGGGAGGCAGCAGUGGGGAAUAGUGCACAAUGGGCGGAAGCCUGAUGCAGCGACGCCGCGUGGGGGAUGACGGCCUUCGGGUUGUAAACUCCUUUCGACCGCGAGGAAGCCACCUGGUUGGAAGGGUGGUGACGGUAGUGGUAGAAGAAGCACCGGCUAACUACGUG